rnacentral:rRNA from 13 species
GAGCUGGGUUCAGAACGUCGUGAGACAGUUCGGUCCCUAUCUGUUGCGAGCGUUGGAAAUUUGAGAGGCGCUGACCCUAGUACGAGAGGACCGGGUUGGACAAACCUCUGGUGUAUCUGUUGUGGCGCCAGCUGCAUUGCAGAGUAGCUACGUUUGGAUGAGAUAAGCACUGAAAGCAUCUAAGUGCGAAGCUCACCUCAAGAUGAGAUUUCCCUUAAGGGUCGUUAAAGAUGAUGACGUUGAUAGGUUGUAGGUGUAAAGACAGUAAUGUCAAAGCCGAGCAAUACUAAUUACCCAUGU